AGCGAACGCUGGCGGCAGGCCUAACACAUGCAAGUCGAGCGCCCCGCACGGGGAGCGGCAGACGGGAGAGUAACACGUGGGAACGUACCCUUCAGUUCGGCAGAACCCAGGGAAACUUGGGCUAAUACCGGAUACGCCCGAAAGGGGAAAGAUUCCUCGCUGAAGGAUCGGCCCGAGUCUGAUUAGCUGGUUGGUGAGGGAAUGGCCCAACGAGGCGACGAUCAGUAGCUGGUCUGAGAGGAGGAUCAGGCGCACUGGAACUGAGGCACGGCCCAGACUCCGACGGGAGGGAGCAGUGGGGAAUAUUGGACAAUGGGGGCAAGCCUGAUCCAGCCAUGCCGCGUGGAUGAUGAAGGCCCUAGAGUUGUAGAGUCCUUUCGGCGGGGAAGAUAAUGACGGUACCCGCAGAAGAAGCCCCGGCUAACUUCGUGCCAGCAGCCGCCGUAACAC
rnacentral:rRNA from 1 species